rnacentral:lncRNA from 1 species
UGGAAAACCAAAGUCUCUUUUGUUUGCUGUGACCAUGACAUUUUCAGCGCUAACAGUUCUUUUCUGUAUUGUGGGUGUGACAAUAAUUAAUACAUGUCUGAUGAAGACACCCGACAUGUUAUCGUUAGAUAGGUCGUUCCUGCACGUGAGCGUCUGAUUGUCUGGGGAAGCGUCUCCUGACCCGGUGGGCGGGUGAGGCCGUUUCUCUCACCGGGCCGGCCGGUCGUGAUUCCGAGGACGAGCUUUCUGGUUGCUAGAAGGACGCAGAGCUCAGCGUCGAUUCUGCUCCUGUCUUUCGUUUUACGCACGAGGAGGGAAGGGCUUUGUAGCAGUGAAAAAUUGAAAACUUAAAUGUCUGAAUUCUUUCCUAGAUAAGUGCCCAAAGUCACAGGACAGGCGAUCGAGGCUCUGCCGGGUGCCACCCGGGUCAGGCCCUGCUUCCUUGUUGGUGCCCCGGGGACCUCCUGACUGACAGAAGGACCCUUCAGUGGCCGCGGACCUCCCUGUCUUCUUAAUUCCUGGGAAGCUGACCACAAGGCUUUACCGCGACUCUGGGGUGGCCACUGGUUUUUCCAGAUCACUCUUGCAUUUAGAGGCCACCAGUGUAACCUCCUCUUCACAAAAGGAACGUGGAUCUGCAGCUGUGGUGUGCCCCAUGAGAGCAGAACUCCCGCCAGGCAGCCGUCUCUCCCGUCACACCGGUCAACCAAGCACACGUUCUGUCAAACAGCCGGGUUCCGUUGCUCGGUUCCUGGACACGUGCUAAUACGAUCUCAAAAGAAGCUGACGGAAGCCGUGGUGUAAACGCGGAUCCUGUGCCGUAGGAGACCCCAGCCGCUGCCGAGAUGGAAACCAGGGAGAUCCUGUGUGGGACGCCUGCCUUCGAGACAAACUGGCAGCGCCGGCUCAGGCCACACGCCCUGUGCCCGCGCUCGGCUGUCGGCAGUGCGCUGCGUGCGGAGCUAAAAGGGCGAGCUCUUUGUGAGAGCAGGGAGCGGUGGAAGGCCCGUGUUCCCUGGUGAGUGUGAGUGUGUGGAUACAUGCGUGUGAGCGUGUGUGAGUGCAUGCACGAAUGAGUGUGUGUUUGUGUGUGCGUGUUGUGAGUGAACUGACCUCCGGAGUUCAGCCUUGGGGAAUUGUUAAAUAAGAAGCAAGUAUGGAUCAGGUACAACAUGGCGGAGUCCAUUCACCACUAAGGUCAAACUUCCCUGUGUAUUGAGUGAAUAGAAAGGACUUUGCUGGUCCGGAACCCGGGGCGAGAGGGAGGGCAGGUUCGUUUUGCUGGCAGGGUGUAGAAAACAUGACUCUGUCCAGGACGGCUUGAAGAGGUGGCCAUGCAGGAGAUGUCGCCCCGCACCUGCGGGCAGCAGAGCCUCUGGCCAGCUGGGCCGUCGCGCUUUUCCUCCUGGCCUGAGCCACACCCUUGGAGGGGCGCCGGGAACAGCUGAGAAGGUGCCCCCUCUGCGUGUGCAGUUAGUGUGUGUGCUGCCCUCUCUUUGCCGUGACUCGGGCUCCCCCGGGGUCUGGCUCCCUGGCCCAGAGCAUCCUGGGCCCUCCCACCACCUCCCUCGGCACCUCGGGAGCUCAGACCACGCGUGGUCCACAGCCAGGUUCGCUCUUAGUGGGCACGCAUGCAGGCCGGCCAGAGACGCUGGGGACAGGGGCAGGGACCACUCUAGUCUUCUCCAGAAUGUGAAAGUUGGAGCUCUGGCACCUGGUUCCUACCUGUGCCCCUGGGAAAGUGUUCUGUACUUCUGUGCCCUCAGAUGAAAGGCCGCUGGCCCAGAGAGCCCCCCUCUCCUGCCCCUUGUCCCCCCGGGUUCUCCUGGCCGGUGGUUCAGCCUCCUCCACCGCAUGAUCACCUGUGUCACAGGGCAUUAGGUGUGGAUGCAUCUCCUGUACCCACUGCCUGCGUCCCGCAUCCCAGCACAGGGAACCUGGCGUGGUGCUGCUUCUCUUCCUCCCCUCCUCCUUAGAGGUGUUAUUAAAUAACAACUGCGCUUACUCGUAAAACGAAAACACAACCACAAAGGAAUCUGUAGGGCUUACAGAGAAAAGACGCUCCCGUUGCCCCCGCCUCCCGCUCCGGCGCCGGCCCACUGAGAUGCCACCUCCAGCUCCUUUGGCUGUUGUUUCCAGGGUCCCCUCUGCUAGUCUUUGUGUUUUUUUCAUCUUCAAAUACUUUUCUGUUUAACUGGAGAGGUUUGCUGCAAACUCGCACAAAAUCUGGUUGUAAUAGGCUGAGUAACAGCCCGCAGAGGUGUCCACACCCUGAUCCCUGGGACCUGGGACUGUGUUACCUUACAGGGUAAAAGGGACGUGGCCGACGGGACUGAACUAAGGAUCUGGAUGGGGGGAUGAUCCUGGAUCGUCUGGGGGGCCCAGGGUCAUCAUUAUAAGAAGGAGGAGGGAGAGUCAGAGCCAGAGAGACAAGACGUGAUGAUGGAGGCAGAGGCCAGAGAUGGUACGCUGCUGGCUUUGAGGAUGGAGGGAGAGGCAUGAGCCAAGGAACAUGGUGCCUCUGGAGACUGGAAAAGGCAGGAAACAGAUCCUCCAGGAGGAAGGCAGCCUGCUGACCCCUCAUUUAGGCCACUGACAUUGACGCCGGACGGACGUCUGACCUCCAGAACUGGGUGAUGGUUGGGACCUUUGUGCUGUUUUAAGCCACUACAUUUUGAUAAUAUAUUAGAGCAACAGUAGAAACUAAUGCACUGUCAUCAAAAUUUCCAUGAAACACACUUAAGCAGUGUGAGAACGAAGAUAUUUGUGUAUUACAUUUAAGAAAAGCCAAAUAGAAAGAAUGAUUUAAGUAGUAUCCUAAUAAACAGCUGCAAAUACAUCUUAACAAAUGGAGAGGCCUCCAUCCAGAAACUUGACGCUGAUAUUUAUGUUGCCACUUAAAAGAGUAAGAUGAUCUAUCUCCAUUUUAGUUGCAUUGUUAGGGAUGUUUCAACAUUGUGUUCUUGCUGGCAGCUGCAGCAUAAACACAUCUAUCCACGCCCUCGCAGCUGGACUCUGAGUGUCCAAGAAAAAUGGGCUCCUGCUGGCUUCUGGUGUGGCGGAACGGUCACUCCAGAAACACUUGGAGACUGCGCGACGUGGGCAGCAUGGGUGGGGGGCGAGGAGAACUGAAGGAGGAGAAGCCCCCCCUUUCCUUCCUGUCUGCCUUCAUGUGGUUGGGGUUGGGGGAGUCCCCAGAAAAUGAAACCAACAUGAUGCAGGAUGCUCUGCACCCCGAGUCAGGACCAUGAGGAGGCUUGGGGAGCCCUGACCCCUGGAAGAGGCGCCCAGAUCUGUAACAUUCUCAUCCUCUCUAAACCUGCAGAGGUGCUCCCCAAGGUGGGCGGGCGUCCUGCUCACACGGGGAGCGACUCCGUCAGCAGCACCAGGAGCCGAGGGUGUUCAUGCCAUGGAGCGAAGUCAACCCAAGUUCCACUGAUGGCUUUUUUUUUCUUGUAGAAUGUGAAAUUCCCUUGGAAUGCUGUUUUUUGUGGUGAGAUUGGGUUUAAUUGUUACCAUUCCUCCUGCUUCUUACAAGAAAAACAAAAUUAAUCCAUGGUAGCCUAGAAAAUAAAUAUGAAAAUUUCACACAGACUGUUGAGAAAGAAAACGUCCCCAGACUAGGCCUGGGGCAGAACGUUACUUCUCGUGCCGUCCUUUAGACGCCCUUCUAGAGAGAGCCCAGCUCCUGACAAAAUGCACAUUUUGUAUGAAUUUUGAUGAGAAAUGAGAUUCUCCGCAACCGGGAGACCGUCCGUCCGCCCGCCCUGGAGCCCAAGGCCGCUCAGCCUGGUGGGAGGCCUCUGUUUACUUGUUUCAUUUUAAUUUAGUCUGACAGUGGUCGUGUAACCAUCCUUUGUUCUUUUCUGUGAAAUGUGUCUGCCAAGAAGAACCCGCGAACCGGCUUUCGUGAAAUGGACGCUCUUGCUGGCCGAAUGAAUAGAAAUGCGUGAAACGGACGCUCUUGCUGGCCAAAUAGAAAUGAAACUUUGCGGCGGGCUCCUGAUCCAUUCAUCGGAGAAGCAGCAUAAACACCUUAUUUCGGUCUGAGAUAGUCAAUGUCAUUUUUUUUUAUGGUGUGACAUUUUUAUUUUUAUUUUUUUCCCCAGCUUUAUUGAGAUACAAUUGACACAGGCAUUGUAUGAGUUUAAGGUGUACACCGUGUUGAUUCGAGACAUUUAUUUAUUCUAAAAUGAUCCCCCCCAUCGUGUUAGCUCACACUCCAUGACGUCACAUGAUUGGCAUUUCUUUCUUGUGAUGAGAACAUUAAGGGUCUACUCUCUUAGGCACUUUCAAGAACACAAUAGGGCAUUGUUAACUAUAGUCGCCGCGCUGUACGUUAUAGCCCAGAACUUACUCAUCUUAUAACUGGAAGUUUGUACAUUUGGACCAACGUCUCCCCAUUUCCCCUACCCACCAGCCCCUGGUAACCCCUUGGUGUCAUUUUAUAAAAGAUUUGGACAGGGGCCAGCCUGGUGGCACAGGUGUCAAGUCCACGCACUCCACUUCAGUGGCCUGAGGUUCAUGGGUUCGGAUCCCGGGUGUGGACCUACACACCAUUCCUCUAGCCAUGCUGUAGAAGGCGUCCCACAUAUAAAGUAGAGGAAGAUGGUCACAGAUGUUACCGCAGGGCCAGUCUUCCUCAGCAAAAAGAGGAGGAUUGGCAGCAGAUGUUAGCUCGGGGCUGAUCUUCCUCAAAUAAUCAGUAACUAAAUAAAUAAAAGGAUGCACAGCUGGGGACUCUGCUGACCAUGCACUAAGGCACCCCUCUGACGCGUUAGGGGGCUACACAGGGCCUGGAGGAGGCGUGGGCCCUCUGAGGACACACUGUUGGGAGUGCAUGAGGGCAUCACCCCCAACCACGGCACAGGGAACAUGCCACCUGGGUGAUACCAUUUUUAGACCUUAUUUACUGACUUCUUGUUAUGAAUGGGUAGAUUUUAGCUCUUUUACAGCCUAAUUUCUCCUCUUCACCUUCUCAAUAUCGUGAGUUUUAAUCAACAAACAGUGUUUAUGGUAUUUUGAUGGAAUAAAUGCAGCCUAGAGCAAAGCCAGUGGUGUACUUUGAGUAGUUUCUUUUCUCAUAGUGCUUUACAUUUUUCCUGGCCUUUCUACGCGCCUCUCUUUUUUUUUCUUACACUAUUUUAAUCAUAUCCUCGUUUUUUCCCACUUUCCAUCGUGUCAAGUGUAUUAGUUUCCUGUGGCUGCUGUAACAAGGUAACACAAACUACAUGGCUUAAAAUGACAGAAAUUUAUUCUCUCCCAGUCUGGAGGCCAGAGUCUGAAAUGAAUAUGUCGACAGGGCUGUGCUCUCCUGAGGCUCAAGGGGAGGGUCUUUCCUUGCCUCUUCCAGCUUCUGACCAUUGCC